rnacentral:rRNA from 1 species
AGUGGCGAACGGGUGAGGAACACGUGGCCAACCUACCCCGGCGUGGGGGAUACCCGCCAGAAAUGGCGGCUAAUACCGCGUACGGUCGCAUGAUGGUGAGUCGUGCGAAGAAAGCAGUGAUGCGCGCUGGGAGGGGGCUGCGACCGAUUAGCUUGUUGGCGGGGUAACGGCCCACCAAGGCGAUGAUCGGUAGCGGGUCUGAGAGGAUGAUCCGCCACACGGGGACUGAGACACGGCCCCGACUCCUACGGGAGGCAGCAGCAAGGGAUUUUCCGCAAUGGGGGCAACCCUGACGGAGCAACGCCGCGUGCGGGACGACGCCUCUUGGGGUGUAAACCGCUUUUGCCGAGGACGAGAAUGGACGGUACUCGGCGAAUCAGGACCGGCUAACUACGUGCCAGCAGCCGCGGUAAUACGUAGGGUCCGAGCGUUGUCCGGAGUGACUGGGCGUAAAGCGCGCGCAGGCGGCCUUUUAGGCACGACGUGAAAGCCCCGGGCUCAACCCGGGAGGGUCGUCGUG